rnacentral:misc_RNA from 1 species
GAAAUGCGAUAAGUAAUGUGAAUUGCAGAAUUCAGUGAAUCAUCGAAUCUUUGAACGCACCUUGCGCUCCUUGGUAUUCCUUGGAGCAUGCCUGUUUGAGUAUCAUGAAAUCUUCAAAGUAAAUCUUUUGUUAACUCAAUUGGUUUCUACUUUGGUAUUGGAGGUCUUUGCAGCUUCACACCUGCUCCUCUUUGUUCAUUAGCUGGAUCUCAGUGUUAUGCUUGGUUCCACUCGGCGUGAUAAGUUAUCUAUCGCUGAGGACACUGUAAAAGGUGGCCAAGGUAAAUGCAGAUGAACCGCUUCUCAUAGUCCAUUGACUUGGACAAUACUUUUAUGAUCUGAUCUCAAAUCAGGUAGUACUACCCGCUGAACUUAAGC